GGAACACGUAAUUGUCAUGGUUGUGAGAAAACUUUCCGUGACAGCUCUUAUCAUGUGGGGUCAUACUGGGACUAGAAGUAGCUCGGGCUUUCCCGUACCUGUGAGAAAGCGUAGAGGAGGCUGGCCCAGCAGCUCCUGUGCACUUACCGCCACCUUCAGCCACAGGUCCCCCUUUGGUUUAUGCUUAGAAAGCCAUCUCAGGAUUAUUUCAGAAAGAAAAGUAAAAAGGAGAAGGAGGAGAUGGAGACGGAGACUAUAAACGGAAAGACAAAUGCCUUCACAAACCCUUUCGGACUCCCUGCCGGGCCUCGUGCAGUGUCUCAUCAGUUCUAAUUUUCGGUGGGGGAAUGUUUGAGAGGAGAGAAGUCACAUACAGAUUGCCACGUUAAAAUGUGCACCCCUUACAACUGGUUAAGGCUUUGAGUUUUAGACGUAAACUCUGCUCGUGUGGUAUUAAAUGCCCAACAUACUCUCACUUUUUCUUGAUUCCAUUCUACUUGUUUGUUUCCUUUCUUUUCUCAGACAGCAUGGUGAUAAUCUUGUACUUGUGAGGCCUCAGGAUAGUGUGCAGUUUCCUGUUUUUUGGGAAAGAGAGUUGACUCGUGAAGACCCCAGCCUCCUGCCUCCUCUCUCUCUCGAGGAGCACUAAAGAGUCCCUGUGAAGUAAUGUUGAAGGACAGUGGAGAUACCAAUUUUUCUUUUGUCUCUGAUCUUUGAGGAAAUAACAUGAUAUAUAAGGCAUGUGCUGUAUAAUUUUUUGGCAGACUUUUUAGAUGUUUAAGGAAAAUCCAUUCUGUACUUUAUUCAAAAAGAAAUGCCAAGAAUUGGUGAUUUAGCAUCAAAUUAUGUUUUAUGCAUCUUCUGAGUUGAUUGUAUGAUAGAUAGCAUUUUCUAUGAAGUGAUGAAAUACACGUAUUGAUUUUUCAUUUUUAUAUUUUUCAUAUAGUUUGAAACUUACAGAAGUUGCAAGAAUAUUACAAGAUAUUCUUGUAUAAAUUUUACCCAGAUUUAACAAUUGUUUUGCACCUUUUCAUUUAUCAUUCUCUCCCCCCACAUACGUGUGUGUGUGUGUGUGUGUAUUUCUAAGCAAUUGGAGUUAAAUUUCAAAAUACUUUUCCUCUGUACUAGUGAAUACUUCAGUGCAUGUUUCCUAAGGGCACAUUUUAUAUUAUUGGAGUAGUAUCAUAAUCAGGAAAUUCAGCGUUGGUAAUUACUAUUCUUUCAUCAACAGUCCAUGUUCAGAUGUCAUCAUUCACGUUAAUAUUGUCCCUUAGUAUUCCCAUGGUUCCUGACCAAAUCUAGAACUGCAUAUUGCAUGUAGUUAUCAUCACCCCUUACACUCCUUUAAUGAAGCAGUUCAUCAGCCUUUCAUGAAGGUCCUUGGACUUGACAGUUUUCACAAAGACAGCUCAUUUAUUUUGUAAAAUCUGUUUCUUUGAUGUUUCCUAAUGAUAUUUUUCUUUUGCAUUGUUUUACAAUGAAAUCAUAGAAGUGACAUUAUGUCUUUCACAGCACAUCAUAUCAGGAGGCACACGAUGUCCAUGUUUACCAAUUAUUAACUUUAGUGACUCCUGUAGGUUUGUGUUCUUGACUUCAAAAUUACUGUUUCCC
ensembl:lncRNA